UUGUUAGAUUUUUAUUAUUCCAACCCGAUGAUUAACUUUUUAUCAUUCUCAUUCUGAAACAGAUCUUUUCACUAGGGGAAUAGAUAUCCAAGCAGUGAAUGUUGUUAUUAAUUUUGAUUUUCCCAAGAACUCAGAGACAUAUCUGCACAGGGUUGGCCGAUCAGGGAGGUUUGGACACCUUGGUUUAGCAGUGAACUUAAUAACCUAUGAGGAUCGUUUCAAUUUGUAUAGGAUUGAACAAGAACUUGGCACUGAAAUAAAACAAAUUCCCCCAUUCAUUGAUCAGGCCAUAUAUUGUCGGUGACCGGUGGUAGAUACCCUGUUUGUAUUCUCAACUGUGGUGAAUAGCAUCAUCGGUGAGUGAUAGGAACCAUUUUCUUUUGAUAUUUA